rnacentral:rRNA from 1 species
GAUGAACGCUGGCGGCAUGCCUAACACAUGCAAGUCGAGCGAACAGAUGGGGCUUUUUCUCCUUUGCAGUGGGCGGCGGGCGGGUAAUUCCCACGUGUAUGACCUGCCUAUAGGACUGGGAUACCUACACGGGACCGGAUCUAAUACCCGAUAACAUAUUGAAACUGGUGGUUCUAUAGUUCACGUCGUAUUUGCUGAGACUAAUAGAUGGUUCCUCGCCGUAUUAGCUAGUUGGUAAGGUAACGGCUUACCAAGGCUAGGAUCCGUAACCGACCUGAGAGGGUGAUCGGUCACACUGGAACUGAGACACGGUCCAGACUCCUACGGGAGGCAGCAGUAGGGAAUAUUACGCAAUGGGCGAAAGCCUGAUGGAGCAAAGCCGCGUGAGUGAUGAAGGUCUUCGGAUCGUAAAGCGCUGUUAGCAGGGAGGAACAAAUGUGAGUGUAACCGUGCACAUCUUGACGGUACCAGAAGAAAAAGCCCCGGCUAACUACGUG